rnacentral:rRNA from 1 species
GAUGAACGCUGGCGGCGUGCCUAAUACAUGCAAGUCGAGCGAACAGACGAGGAGCUUGCUCCUCUGACGUUAGCGGCGGACGGGUGAGUAACACGUGGAUAACCUACCUAUAAGACUGGGAUAACUUCGGGAAACCGGAGCUAAUACCGGAUAAUAUAUUGAACCGCAUGGUUCAAUAGUGAAAGACGGUUUUGCUGUCACUUAUAGAUGGAUCCGCGCCGCAUUAGCUAGUUGGUAAGGUAACGGCUUACCAAGGCAACGAUGCGUAGCCGACCUGAGAGGGUGAUCGGACACACUGGAACUGAGACACGGUCCAGACUCCUACGGGAGGCAGCAGUAGGGAAUCUUCCGCAAAGGGCGAAAGCAUGACGGAGCAAAGCCGCGUGAGUGAUGAAGGUCUUCGGAUCGUAAAACUCUGUUAUUAGGGAAGAACAAAUGUGUAAGUAACUAUGCACGUCUUGACGGUACCUAAUCAGAAAGCCACGGCUAACUACGUG